UACAGAGGGGGCAAGCGUUGUUCGGAAUUACUGGGCGUAAAGGGCGCGUAGGCGGCCGCCUAAGUCAGACGUGAAAUCCCUCGGCUCAACCGGGGAACUGCGUCUGAUACUGGGUGGCUUGAAUCCGGGAGAGGGAUGCGGAAUUCCAGGUGUAGCGGUGAAAUGCGCAGAUAUCAGGAGGAACACCGGUGGCGAAGGCGGGUCUCUGGGCCGUAACUGACGCUGAGGAGCGAAAGCAUGGGGAGCGAACAGG
rnacentral:rRNA from 1 species